UAGAGUUCUGGAGGAAUACCGGUGGAGAAGUCGGCCCCCUGGACAAAGACUGACGCUCAGGUGCGAAAGCGUGGGGAGCACACAGGAUUAGAUACCCUGGUAGUACACGCUGUAAACGAUGUCGACUUGGAGGUUGUGCCCUUGAGGUGUGGCUUCCGGAGCUAACGCGUUAAGUCGACCGCCUGGGGAGUACGGCCGCAAGGUUAAAACUCAAAUGAAUUGACGGGGGCCCGCACAAGCGGUGGAGCAUGUGGUUUAAUUCGAUGCAACGCGAAGAACCUUACCUACUCUUGACAUCCAGAGAACUUAGCAGAGAUGCUUUGGUGCCUUCGGGAACUCUGAGACAGGUGCUGCAUGGCUGUCGUCAGCUCGUGUUGUGAAAUGUUGGGUUAAGUCCCGCAACGAGCGCAACCCUUAUCCUUUGUUGCCAGCGGUCCGGCCGGGAACUCAAAGGAGACUGCCAGUGAUAAACUGGAGGAAGGUGGGGAUGACGUCAAGUCAUCAUGGCCCUUACGAGUAGGGCUACACACGUGCUACAAUGGCAUAUACAAAGAGAAGCGACCUCGCGAGAGCAAGCGGACCUCAUAAAGUAUGUCGUAGUCCGGAUUGGAGUCUGCAACUCGACUCCAUGAAGUCGGAAUCGCUAGUAAUCGUAGAUCAGAAUGCUACGGUGAAUACGUUCCCGGGCCUUGUACACACCGCCCGUCACACCAUGGGAGUGGGUUGCAAAAGAAGUAGGUAGCUUAACCUUCGGGAGGGCGCUACCAUCUUGGAU
rnacentral:rRNA from 1 species